CCUGAUGCAGCAACGCCGCGUGAACGAUGAAGGUCUUCGGAUCUAAAGUUCUGUUGCAGGGGAAGAUAAUGACGGUACCCUGUGAGGAAGCCCCGGCUAACUACGUGCCAGCAGCCGCGGUAAUACGUAGGGGGCUAGCGUUAUCCGGAUUUACUGGGCGUAAAGGGUGCGUAGGUGGUCCUUCAAGUCGGUGGUUAAAGGCUACGGCUCAACCGUAGUAAGCCGCCGAAACUGGAGGACUUGAGUGCAGGAGAGGAAAGUGGAAUUCCCAGUGUAGCGGUGAAAUGCGUAGAUAUUGGGAGGAACACCAGUAGCGAAGGCGGCUUUCUGGACUGCAACUGACACUGAGGCACGAAAGCGUGGGUAGCAAACAGGAUUAGAUACCCUGGUAGUCCACGCUGUAAACGAUGAGUACUAGGUGUCGGGGGUUACCCCCCUCGGUGCCGCAGCUAACGCAUUAAGUACUCCGCCUGGGGAGUACGCACGCAAGUGUGAAACUCAAAGGAAUUGACGGGGACCCGCACAAGUAGCGGAACAUGUGGUUUAAUUCGAAGCAACGCGAAGAGCCUUACCUAAGCUGACAUUCCUCGGACAGGUGUUUAAUCACACCCUUCCUUCGGGACUGAGGUGACCGGUGGUGCAUGGUUGUCGUCAGCU
rnacentral:rRNA from 1 species